rnacentral:rRNA from 1 species
GAUGAACGCUAGCGGCAGGCCUAAUACAUGCAAGUUGGACGGGAUUGAGAAGCUUGCUUUUCAUGAGAGUGGCGCACGGGUGCGUAACACGUAUGUAACCUACCUUAAUCAGGGGGAUAGCCUCUCGAAAGAGAGAUUAACACCGCAUAAAAUCAAUUUAUGGCAUCAUAGAAUGAUCAAAUAUUUAUAGGAUUAAGAUGGGCAUGCGGAACAUUAGCUAGUUGGUAAGGUAACGGCUUACCAAGGCUACGAUGUUUAGGGGAUCUGAGAGGAUGUCCCCCCACACUGGUACUGAGACACGGACCAGACUCCUACGGUGGGCAGCAGUAAGGAAUAUUGGUCAAUGGGCGCAAGCCUGAACCAGCCAUGCCGCGUGCAGGAAGACGGCCCUACGGGUUGUAAACUGCUUUUGUACCGGAAUAAACCUUUGUAUGUAUACGAAGCUGAAUGUACGGUAAGAAUAAGGAUCGGCUAACUCCGUGCCAGCAGCCGCGGUAA